rnacentral:ribozyme from 1 species
ACUCGAUUGCGCGAGUAUAAAAAGACGAUUAAGCGUAAAGCGUUACCCGGAUUGUUUGUCCGGGUAGGUUCAG